CAUCGAGCCUGUCUCGACUUCCUCUAUACUCAUUUCUAUCAAGGUGAUUCCGACUACCAUGGUAUUGAUCACUUUGACGAUCCUGGUCUCGCUCAUUCGGAUAUCUACCACUAUCAGAACCAUGAUUAUCCUCUUCCGACCAUUAGACUCUUCAUCCAAAGAUUCAGGAUCAUCUAUAAAUUCAAUUUCUUUGGAGGACCUGAGUCAUCAAGAAGAGAAACAAGAAAUGACUGACCUCUUCUUGUAGCAACAGAAGAUGAGAAUGCCAAGAAGAAUAAAUCCAGCAACAACACCACCAAUUAUACCUCCAGUGGCUCCGAAGCUCAUGCUACCUAGAGUGUGGAAGAAGCAAUAAAGCAAAUCAACCUGCUUCCGGUUUAGUGGCAAAGUGAGCUGAUGAUUGACUCGCAUGAUCAUAUAAUCAAGGUGUGGUGUGGAUUUUGAAAAAAAAAAGAAAAAAAAAAGACAGACUGUACCUGUUAGU